ACAUACGAUCACCAAUCAUAACAUGCUCUACUGGUCAAUAAUCAUAAACAAUUAAAUUAUCCGAUUUUCACACACAAUCAAAAGGCUCGUGCGGUUGUAAAGCAGUUCCUCAAAAGUAAACACCAGCGAACAGUUCAAUGGUACGAACUGCAUUCGAACAAAUAAAUAAUAGUUCCACAUUAAAGGUAACUCAGAACCUAGACAAAGAAUCUCCAAACGCAAACUGCAAGGGACAAUCUUAUGCAGACUGGAAGGAAGAUAU